rnacentral:rRNA from 1 species
UGGGGAAUAUUGGACAAUGGGGGGAACCCUGAUCCAGCGAUGCCGCGUGAGUGAAGAAGGCCUUAGGGUUGUAAAGCUCUUUUGACAGGGACGAUGAUGACGGUACCUGUAGAAUAAGCACCGGCUAACUCUGUGCCAGCAGCCGCGGUAAUACAGAGGGUGCAAGCGUUGUUCGGAAUUACUGGGCGUAAAGAGCGCGUAGGCGGUACACUUAGUCAGGAGUUAAAGACCUGGGCUCAACCUGGGGGAGGCUUUUGAAACGGGUGAACUAGAGUGCGGAAGGGGAGAAUGGAAUUUCCGGUGUAGAGGUAAAAUUCGUAGAUAUCGGAAGGAACACCAGUGGCGAAGGCGAUUCUCUGGGCCGCAACUGACGCUGAGGUGCGAAAGUGUGGGGAGCGAACAGG